GCUGCUGUAGUGGCGUGUUCAACGCUGUGGACGUUCCUGCCUGUAUCCCCAGUAGCCGUAAAAAGUUGGUUGGGGGCCCCCUACUACGACCACUGGUAGGGGGCCCCAGGCAGCCGCCUACCUAUGCCUCUAUGUUAAGACCGCCUAUAUGUGAGCCCCAGGAAUAUCCACAGGAGAAUUUGCAUCUGCUGGAAGUACAUCCGCGUCUCCUUCCCGGAGGUCUGUUCAGUCACUCUUAGGAGCCAAACCAAGCGACCCGGACUGCUUCUCUUUAACGGUCAAAUUUGAGAAACCAGUCUUCAAAGCCAUAGUCUGCAUUCCACUUCCUGGCAAUGCCUAGAAAAUGACUAA